rnacentral:rRNA from 1 species
UACGUAGGGUCCGAGCGUUGUCCGGAAUUACUGGGCGUAAAGGGCGCGCAGGCGGCGUUUCUGGCCCGGCGUGAAAGCCCCCGGCUCAACCGGGGAGGGUCGUCGGGGACCGCAACGCUUGAGGGCGGUAGGGGCCGGUGGAAUGCCUGGUGUAGUGGUGAAAUGCGUAGAGAUCAGGCAGAACCCCUGGGGCGAAGGCGGCCGGCUGGGCCGUCCCUGACGCUGAGGCGCGAAGGCGUGGGGAGCGAACGGG